ACCCCUGACACUGCAGCGCCAGCCGGCCUCGGGCCCCGCCCUCUGCCUGGGCUCGUCCCGCGCUCCUCCAGCUUCCCCAGGGCCUGUUUCACCGAUAGGGUCUCCUUGCCCGCGUGAAAACCUCUUUCCUCCUCAGCUCAGAAACACUCCAAGGUCUUGGCGCCCGACACGAGCCUUCCCUCAUCCGAAUACCUCUCGUGCCCCUGAUGCACUUUUCCAUUCCCACUCCCCACGUCGGCAGCCUAGCUUCUGAGAGCUUGGCCUUCUUUCCCGGUGUGGGGACUCGUGGAAGGAUUUGAUUCGCGCUUUAGAAAGAUCGCUCUGCUCCUGUGAGGAGGAGGGCGUACUAGGGGCUGCCACCGGAGACACGCUCAGAAGCUCCGGGCUACCGCGAUGGUCCAGACGUGGUCUCACUAUUUGCUAAGGCUGGUACUGAACUUUGGCUUUAAGUGAUCUGCCCACCUUGGCAUCCCAAAGCGCUGGGAUUACAGGGGUGAGCCACCAUGCCUGGCCCUCUUUUUAAAAAUAUAGGUUUGACAUUGUGAUAUAUGUAUUUGGUUUUCCUCCCUGUUUCCUGACACAUAGCUCGUAAAACCCUUGCUGGAAUUACCAAAGUGGUAAGAGUAUCUCGUAUUGCUAAUGAGAUGACUACUGACUGGGGGCUCCUAUAAAGUGUCAGGAUGGGAACUGGUCAACCUUCAGCCAGCCCUCUUUCUUCCCAGAUCACAGCCUCUGGGGAGGGGAGAGGGCUGGCUAAAGGCUGAGUUGAUCACCAAUGGCCAAUUAUUUAAUCAAUCAUGGCCAAGUAAUGACGCUUCCAUAAAAACACAAAAAAACAGGGCUCAGGAGAGCUUCUGGACAGCUGAACACAUGGAGGUUCCUGGAGCAUGGCACGCCUAGAAAGAGCAUGGAAACCCCUUCUCUGCUGGCCCUACACAUCUCUUCUAUCUAGCUGUUCAUCUGUAUCUUUUGUAACAUCUUUCAUAAUAAAUGGGUAGAGAUAAGUAAGUAUUUCCCUGAAUUCUAUGAGCUGCUCUAGCAAAUUAAUCAAACCCAAGGGGAGGGAGAUUGUAGGAACCCUGGUUUACAGUCAGAGGUAUAGAUGACAAUCUAUUACUUUUGAUUGAUAUCCAAAGUGGGGGGCAGUCUUGUGUGACUGAGCUCUCAACUUGUAGGGUCUGAUGCUACCUCCAGAUAGUAUCAGAACUGAAUCAAAUUAUAGGACAUUCAUCUGGUAUCCACUGUAUAAAUGAUCAUUUGCUUGGUGUGUGAGGGACAGUCCCCAUGUUUGGUCACAGAAGCAUUCUGUGUGGUGAGAGUACAGGAGAAAAAAGGGAGUUUGUUUUACAAUAUUCUUACAACAGGAGACUUAUUAAAGAAGCAACUCUAGGUAUCAGUAUGAUCCUCACUUUGUUAAACAUUGAAAUCAAAACUGUAUAUAUAUAUUUAAAUUUACAUAGAAAUUACCUGAAAAAGGCUGGGCAUGGUGGCUCAUGCCUAUAAUUCCAGCACUUUGGGAGGACAAGGCAGGUGGAUCACUUGAGGUC